ensembl:lncRNA
GCUCCCGCUCCGACCGCCGCCGCGCGGGCCGCGCCCGCCGGGCUCGGUGCCACGGCGACCCUAAGGGUGGGAAAGACCUCGACUAUAUACUCCUAUCCUGUCACUGGUUGUCUGGGAAGUGGGGAAGGGAACACUGCCGUGGUAGUGUCUGAGCGUGGUACACAGUCAUGAAAGUGACGAAGCACAGGACAAAAGGACAAGUUUCAUGCCCUGGCCCAAACAGGAUCAGCCUGUAAUCUAGCACAGAGGCUGGAAUGGUACUGUAUGCUUAUACAAUGUCUUGCAGCCUUCAGAAUUCACAUUGCAAAUGUUGGAAAGUCUGUGUUACUGUGGUAAGUCUGUGUCUGAGAAAUAUUGCUAUAUUCUCCUCCUAGAUAAAAGCAUGACAUGUGAAGACAUCAAGAUCUGAUUUUAACAGUCAGAUGAAGACUCAUUGGAGGUGUCAGGAAACAGAAAUAUUGAGGGAGUCUUUUGUCCCCUUCAUUAGUCUGCUUGGUGUGUGUGUGCUUCAUGUCCUGUCAUUAGACAGCUUCUGUACAAAUUUCCUUUCUCAUCAUUAAUAUCAUAUCUGCCUUAAGCGGUAUCAGUGACUUCUGCCUGCUUUAUGACUUUUGGAGUCUUCUGCCUUUGAAUCUGUUUUUAUCUCCAUAUUUGCUGAACACUUAAAGCUUCAAAUGAAACAAAUUGAACCUGUUAGAUAUUCAUUACGUCUGGCGAUGACACUCCAUGUUUCUCAGCAGGAGCAAGCAGAAGUAGAGACUCCUUAAAUUUUGAGUGCAAAUGACUUUGAUCAAAGUUAUAUGACAAGAUAAGGAAGAAGCUUGUAACAGAAUCCAAAAAUAUCAGUGCCUAGUCACUUAAAAUAAAUCAAUUUGAGAGCUUGUAUGAAUAAACUCUUGACACUGCUGACUUUAAGAAACAAAAUGCAAAAAGGAAAAUGAGUACAGAGGAAAUUAUAAAUGUAUAUUCCUCAGAAAUAAAUUCUUUCAUUAAACAGAGAGUUAAAUGCUUUUGAAAGUAGUCUGUCACAUCUGUACUUACUUUUUUGUUGUUUUGUUUUUGUUUAGCCAAGAUGUUUGUAGAGGAAUUACUUAAAUACGUAAUAGUAUCAAUCAACAUAAUCUAAGUAUUGAAUGGUGCUUAUCAAAAAAUCAUUAAUAAAGCUUUUAAAGAACUCUUGGAUAAUGUAAUGAAGCCAAAUUGUGUACUCUUCAUUUUUUUACAUGUUCAAGAUAAUUCUGAUUUAACCAUUGCGUAAAAGUGAUUUGCCUUUUUAUGAGACAGCCUAUAUUAAACAAAACAUGUUGCAGUAUUUAUACUCAAUAUGUAGAUAUGAAAUGAAAUCUCAUAGGUGCUAUGUACUUCAAAAUUCAGUGCUGUGUGAUCUUUACAUUUUGGGGAAUACAGUGUGUCUUGUAGAAAUAUUACAUAAAGGUAUCAAUUUAAGAGCGUAAUUGGCUGAAUCCCAGAAGAUCUUUCUAAGGCCAGAUAUAAAAUUACCUGAAAUGCAAACUAGUCUAUGGAAAAAGACCUUUCUGUGAAACAAGAUCAAAUGUGACUGAGUGGUUAGUAUUCACUAUAAGAACAUCUUGCACCAGGGAUCAUUUAAUUACUAUAGCCACAUUUUUGCUUUGCACUCUUUAAAGAUACAUUGCAAAGCUCAAGUUCAACUGUAUUGAGAGUCAAUACACUCUCAAGUGUAUUUAGAGUCUGUCACUCAGAAUUUUAAUAUAGAGCCAAAUCUACAGAUAAUAAGCUUUUCCUGACUUACAUUUUGAGUAGGAGGCAUUUUUGAAUGUGAUGGAUUAACCUGUUGUUUUAGAGUUGGAAAAUCUAAUUUAAUUGUGAAUAUCUUCUGCUAACUUAUCAUUGAAUUAAGAAAUUGAAAACUUAACUACAGACUGUGAAGAAAUAGAGAUGGUGCUAAAUGGUGUGUGGGAUUUAGUUUUUUCCUUAGGAAACAGAUGGUUUUAUGUUUAGAUCUAUUUCUGUAUGGUAGCAGUGAAGCGCUACAUUGCUUUUGACGUUUAGCAAUGGAUCUGGAUUUGUUUAGUGAGGUAAGACUUUGAAGGUUUGAAAUAUAUGUGAUGAAGAAAUGUCUGUUACAGCUGCUGUGAAAUGCUGUUUCUGUGAAAAGACAAUUUGCAGUACUGAUGUUGACUGAUGUCUUUCUGUUGUCAUGUGUCUCAGCUCCUGACUUAGUGUGCUGCAAAAUAUUUCAUGAGUGGAGGCCCUGUGCCAUACUUAUGUCUACUUGGUUGUUCCUUGCAAUGCUUUUAUGCAAAAUCAGUCUGUCACUCACUUCUUACGUAGCACUGACAAUUGCUCUGUAGGGCAAAUAAAUAUCCCCUGUAAGCCUGGUUUUUUACCUUUCCAGAACCAUAUAAAACUCAAGAUUGAGAAGGUUAGAUCCAAACAAAUGGAACAUAAUCCUUCAAAAUUUUAAAUUAUUUUCAAGAAUAGAAUUCUAAAUUACUGAAUUCUUAAUAACAAACAGUAAUUCUAAAUUACUGGAUUCUUAACAACAAACACCAAGCUUUAAACUUUUACCUUCAUGGACUAAUGAGAAAAACAGACUUGCCAAGGCUUGAGAGGGGCAUACUAGGGCUCACAGGAGUUGAGGCUGGUAAGAAAGGUUUCCCUUUACAACAUACAGAGGCUUACAGAGAAAGGGAAGUGCCUCCAGUCCUCUCACUUUGGAUUUUACCUCCAGAAUUUCCAAGGGCUGCUAAUGAUUUCUGUAGCUCAGGAUGUCAGUCGGUGAGCCUCUGCUCUAGAUGUCACUUGCUGGAAGACACUCCAUAAUUUACAGUCAGAGUAGAGGAAGUAGCUGGAAAAUUUUCCAGUGUUGCUGGAAAAUAUGAACUGAUUCAUCACAUUUUUAUUUUACUUUAAAGAGUAGUAGUGAUUUGACAAGAUAAUUAGUUUUGGAUGUAAUUACACACAAAGCUACUGUCUCAGGCUGAGUGCAGAUGUAAUCUGACAUUUUCUAGUUUUAAAUUGGUCCUAUUAAUAUGAGUGGAGAUUUCUUUACUUUGCUUUUCGCAGUGAACUCUAACAUAUAAUGUGAGCAAUUAUCUUGUUCUGUGAUUGUAGUUAGCUGUUGGUGUUGAUUUAAUCUACUGAUUGAAAGCCCACAGUACAAAAAGGAAGUAAUUACAUCAUUCUUGUCCAUUUCUGUAAAACUGUUAAGAACUUGGUAGAGUUGCGAGUGAAAUCAGUUAAGAGACUGAUUGUCUUCAGUCAUGACUGAAUGAAGCCCUAAAUCAUGGACCAUACUGAUAUUAAUAAUGCUGUCAGAGAGAAAGUUAGGUUUAAGACUAGUAGAACUAAGAUUUAAAUCUGUUCUCUCUGGUAGACAUCAUGUUUUCUGCUCAGCAGCAGCUAAAGUUGUAAAAAGUCCCAGUCUCUCUUCAAGUGUAUGAACAUUACAGGAAGGCCAAGUGACUCAUUGAAGUGGUCUUCAGCAUUGCAUUUGCAAGGAAUUAUUCUCUGUAAGCAAUAAAUCUUUGCCAAAAAUGUAUGUGUAAUAUUUUAAAACUAAAUUAUAAAUAAAAUCAUAACUUGAAGAUAGUCCUAUAGUAUGUAAUAAUUACAAUGUAAUUGUAAGAUACUGGCUUAUAUUAAACUCUUAAUUAAAAUUUACAUGCCUAAUAAUUUUAAUAAAAUUUAUUUAAAAUGU